AUGAUGAUUAUUAUCAUCAUCAUCAUCAUCAUCAUCAUUAUUAUCAUGUGAUGACAUUGGUGAUUAUUAUGUUGAUGAUUAGGCAAAAUGAUUGUAUCGGACAAAAGGGAUAGUUGAGAUCAGGUGUUAUUAGAAAUAGAGAUAUUGACACGGAUGAUGAUGGUGAUGAUGAUUAUUAUCAUCAUCGUCAUCAUCAUUAUUAUUAUCAUGUGAUGACAUUGGUGAUUAUUAUGUUGAUGAUUAGGCAAAAUGAUGGUAUCGGACAAAAGGGAUAGUUGAGAUCAGGUGUUAUUAGAAAUAGAGAUAUUGACACGGAUGAUGAUGGUGAUGAUGAUUAUUAGAGAAAUAGUGAUUACGCAAUACGAUGGCAAGAGGAAAAGGGAUAGUCGAAAUAAUGCUAGAAAAAUGAUGACAGUAUUAAGAAUUGAUAUAACAGUGUAUUAUUACAAUAGAUAUCAUGGUAAUUAAAAUAUUUCGAUGAUACUUGCAAAACCACUUAUCAUUGUUACAAAGUGCAUGAAGUAUUUGUUUAACUUUGUGACAUGCUAUUAUCGACAAUAAGUGAUACUCACAUUCAAAAAGAUACAGUGGAAAAUUUCAUUCAUAAACUAAUUUGAUUACUGUCAUAUCUUUGAAUAUUAUGAUAGUUUUAUCAACAAAAUAGUUUACACCUGUUUAUGCUCAAUGUACUUUUAACUUAUAUACUUGCAAACAAAUAUCAUGAUUGAUUGUUAAAAGUUCAAUUAAAUAAGCUGUUAACAUUUAUUUAAUGCUAUUUUAUUUCAGACUUCAUUUGAAAUAUAUGUCAAUGGUAAACUGUUAUAUUCCAAGUUAAAAAAGAAAUCGUUUCCACCCGAUUGAGAGAUAUUUACUUCAAUACACAAUACGACUCACAACCCCGACUCCAAGAAGACAAAAGACAGUUCUACAUGAUUUUGUAUUCUUGUUUAGCAAUGGUACUUCGACAAACUAUUCCUUCAAAAGAAAUGUGUUACUUGAACGAGAUUAUACUUAAAAAGAACAAAUAACAUGCUAUACUUCAUUGCAUUAGUAGGAAAUUAAACAUCAGUGCAUGAGUUCAUUUUAAAUUAAUUUUUAAACUUAAUUUUUGGAAUAUUGUAUUAAGAUUUAUUUAACUUGCUUUGGACACUAUCUCGCCUUUCAUUUCCAAUGUAAAUGCAUAGCGAUUUUCUCUCCUGAUGCAGUCGCGUAACAGGCAGUUUUAUCUUGUUUUAGUUUAGCAUACUAAUAUUGAAUUUUGUGACAGAUGUGCCUCUAUAGAUCUCUAGAUAAUUUGGAUUAAGGUAAUAUUUAUGGCAUACUUUAUUAACACAUCCUUCAUUUGUAAGUCUGUUUGCCGUCGGCUUGAAAUGACUUUUGGAUACUAAAAGCUUGUAAAAAGAAGGUUCCAUAAGGAUGUGCCGCCGACGACAAACAUUCAUAACUUAUUAUGUAUAUAUACUAGUAUAGAUUACUUUGAAAUAAAAUAUCUAUAAUUCUUCACGUAUAGUCAAACACUUUUGCUUUUGAUAGUUUGCAAGUCUUUGGGUUAGAUACUUCGUUAUAUGUAAUUGUUAAUCAAGAAUUUUAUGUACUUUAUGUUGUCUUUAUUGUAACCCUUUUCUAGUAUGUAUGUUUAUGUAAAAUGGAGAAAGAGUUAUAAAUUAUUUUGACAUAUACUCGCAUGCAAAACUAAACUUGCUCUAAACUACACUGUGUAUUCAAUAUAUAGUCACUGAUCGAAGGGAUGCUUUGUCGUCGUUCUAUAAAACUAAAUCAUAAAUUCUUCAUGUUUUGAAUAGGUAAAUUAACCUGAAUGAAGAAAUGACAAAGCUUAUCUUAAGUGAAUUGACGUAUUGUUUAAACUAACUAAACUGACAACUGAAAUCGUAUACGAGUACAUGUACAUGUAUUAUGUUUAACCUUCUACAAAUGACUCUACAGUUUACUCUUUGUUGUCAGAAGAAUGUUGGACAUCUUUAAAUUUUGACUUUUUUGUAUGUCGUCUGCCACUUCAAACAUGUUAACGAUGAAUUGAAAAUUUAGCAUCGGAUAUGUCGUUUUCAUUUGCCAAUAGAAAACAUAACGGAUAUAUUAAAUUAGAAGUGUUAGUGAUUUUAAUAAAGGUAAACCAUAUCAUUCUGUGUUAAGCUCGCACGUACAGAACGUAAUGAAAAAUGAAAAUACCGUUCUACUAUAUUACUAAUUCUUACACUAUCGGAAAUCUUUCUAUAUAAACAAAGAAGGCCAGAAGCGUGCGUUAUUCUACAUUCUAACACUCACGUGAUUUUGUCACUAUAGACAAAGAAGGAAAAAAACUGGUGUUAAACUGCCAAUAAACACCGGUUAGGGACUACUUGUAUAUCCGCUGUUAUAUUUUCACCCUCGAUUGUAUAGUUUACAAAGCAUUUUAAAGCAACAAUAAAAA